rnacentral:tRNA from 1 species
UCCCUGGUGGCUCAGAUGGUAAAGCGUCUGCCUGCAAUGCGGGAGACCCCGGGUUUGAUUCCUGGGUCGGGAA